AAAAUUGAACCUCACUGUGAGGAGAUAUUUACAUUGGCUUCACCCUCACAGAAGACCUAUCUGAACACUUGCUUUAUUUUUUAUGAGCUGACUACAAAGACAAGACCCUCAGGAACACCCAGAGACUUCUAUCACUUUAGAAACUUAAAUUGAAUCUCACUGCAGGUGAAAACAGAGGAGGCAAAAGAUCAGAAUACAUGGAUUACUGUGAUCCAGCCGUGCAAAAAAUGGAGCAUAAACCUGGCAUAGAACAAUGGCAUUUUCAGAGCAAUUACAGCAUUGAUAUGGUUGUACCUCAAGAUAUUAGUGCAGUCAUACUAGAUCACGGUGUAUCAGUCUGUUCACCAUCUUGCAAGCAUCAGAGGAUUACCCUGAGUGAUGUACUCUACUUCAGGCUACCUAUGGAGGGGUCAAUACUUUUUAAUUAUAAAGGACAAUGUGACCAAUUGCCAUCAAAUCCUUUAUGCCAAUAAGGAAUGCUGCUUUGGAGAUUCAUGUCCAAGAAAUCAAAAGGCCCUAGAACAGUGUGUUUGAUUUUAUGUUUUCAAGAUAUCCUCACAGUUUUCAAGGAGCAUUUACCUUUUACCAUGUUCUCCCUCAAGUUUACUGGAAAAAAAAAUAUUGCAAUAUUAAUUAUUGACUCUCUCAAAAGAAUAAAGCAUAAAUUAUACCAGUCAAAGCAUCUGGAAAGCUAGUUGGAAGUUGAACCCAUCAGUUCUGUAGAAAAAUUAAGCCAUUUUAACAGAGGGUUAUGGAAAUACCAGAAGACCUUAGAAAUACCCAAAGAAAAAAGAGCUACUGGAACAGCAACCAAUUUAGUGAAGAAGCCCCUCUACAACCUCACAUCUGGAGAAAUGAUAGAGGCAAGGAGAACUUCCACGUGCAAGUAGGUAAGCAGACAAAAAAAGUUUGUAUUGGAUUCACCAGCUGAUGCUGACAUUGAUAGGACAAGGGGUAAUGGCUUUAAACUGAAAGAGCGUGGAUUUAGAUUAGA